GGUGGUAUGGUGUAGAGGUAGCACGUAACGUUGUGGUUCACAGCCUCAACGUCCUCCAAUCAUACUGAUAGAGGGCGGUGAUUCAAUCCCGUUCCGACCCCGGUUCGAGUCCGGGUACCGGUUAGUACCA